AUCAAAGGUACUUUCUUUCAUUUUUGACGCAUUUGUCGCCCAGCAUUCAGGCCAGCCAUAUACCUACCCUUCGCAUUCCCAUAUGUAAUUUCUUUUUUAAAGUUUCUCGAAAUAAAUCAAUAGUGUGGUAUACUUGCCUACCAGAUGCUGUUUUUAGGGCAUCAAACGCCCCAUAAUCACACGGAUUUAGGUCUGCGGAAUAAACAACUUAAAGCCAACUUGGAAUAUUACUUUGUUCAAUUUCGGAAGGGAUUAAGGCAUGGUGAUAGGAUGUGGUUUUGCCGCCAAGUAACUAGACUGCGUGCUUUUGACUACCGUGCACGACGGUCCACAAAUCUCGAGAUAGCGAACUGCAUUCAUUUUCGGCAGAUAUAUUACGACAGCGCAUGACCCUGACGUUCAUCGCAUGCACUAUUAUCAGUUCACAUCUGACUCACUUAAUACUGUCAUAGAACUUGAUUUCUCUCUGCAGCUACGCCGUUCUUUUGCGUGGUGGUAGAGAUUGAACCACGCCUCUUUUAUGGCGACCGUAUUCUUUGUUGAUUACACUUCCGCGAACUGUAGGUACAAGAAGGAACCAUACGCACUUCCAACUGGCCUGGAGUCAACCUGCGAUGGGCCUAUUCAUGAUUCGAUUUCCGCAUGUUCAGUAUUUUGGUGACAAAUCGCUAAUUUUUUUUUAAUUUAAGCUCCAAGCUCUGCCCUCGUGGAAACCCCGUUCAUUGUGGCGAUACGUUCCGGCCCGACAGCUGGUCAGUUCCUUGCUGGUUCCAACUAAAUUUCAACCGCUAGAGGCGGGUAAUUAAAAAGAUAUCCAAUUUCAGGGUCAGGUUACAUUCCCUAUCGAUCUUUUAUCUUCGUUUUUGAUAUUAGAUAUCACAUAAUAUUGAUAAUUUUUUAAGUACAGGAAAAUCAAGCACGGUAAUAUACUUAAUAGCAGCUACUUAAUGCGAUCAUUGAUUAGCAUCACAUCGACAUUAGAUCGAACAGCGGUUAUUUCUCGUAUGGUAACUCAUGGUAUGUAUGGUAAGCCUCAUAUGGUAACUCCAACAAAAGAGCUAAAGGUCCAAAUUUUUGAAGCUACUUGCACCGAGUGUAUAUUGAUCGCCUAACCGUGAACAAGUAAAAGCUCGUGUACAAAAAAUGAGCAUUGUCCUUUUGCUCUGUGCGUUUUUUAUACGAAUAUCCAUUUUUCUUUUAGGGUUGCUGCCGUCAGGGCUUUCAGCGGCUUCACUGAUUGCACUCCCGGUAGGGUGUGCCUGGCCCUAAUUUUCAUUUAUGCCCAUGAUUGCCAAGUUUGUUUGCAGUUAACUUGGCGGCUCAGUCGAUCGGUCGGUUUCGUAGUGACAUGAACUGCUAUGGUAGAAGGCACAAAGCUGUUGACAGCUCCAUCUUCUGUAGCUUUUUCUUAGUUCGGUCCAUGCCGUCGAGCUAAGCCUUCUUGGGAAAGCUACCAGUCAACGAACUGCCAUUACUCUAAAACCGGUUGCUAGGACUCGCAUAUCUUUUUGCUAUGCGAAGUCAAGAGGUGUUGGCUUCUACUGUUGGUCCAACAAAAUUGUUUCCAUAUCGAUUCGAGUUGAAUCGCAUCGUCUGCUCUGCAGAGUUGCUUGAACCAACGUUCGACGGCUUGUUCCUCGUGUACCUCUAAUGCCUGUUAUAUAUGAGGGUAACACUAACUCCAAUAGCUUGUGGCAAUGAAUUGUCAGUUACCAAACAGCGGACGCCAAAAUACGUUUAAGUAUUCUUUUCUCAUUCUAUUAGCAACAUCUUCCGAGUUCCACGUUCGAUGCUUCAAUGCUUCAGUGAAUCACGUUGCUUCAGAUACCGGAUGGUAGCGGCGGCUGCUUCCAGUAGGACGACACGUAUCUUGCCAUCUCUCAAGAACUUUUUCUUCUACUUGCACGAUUAUUAUUCAGGCCCGAGCUCCCUCUUUCUUUCAGUCUUCCUUUCAGUUCGGUGCUUUCGGGCUAGCUUAAACCGCUGGCCUGAUUAGGCUCAUCUUCUUACUCGAGUUUACAGUGCAUUAAUACAAAUGACAGUAAAAUGCAGAGCAACGAGAAACUUCAUAGUAGGAUUGAAUGGAAAGGAAUGGGUGUAGAUCCGUCGUCGCUCCGACCUCAAGCUCCAUCGUGGCCACUAACAGUUUCCCAAUGAGUAGUUGCCGGAGCAGUUUUGUGGCAACAUGCUUACGAACGCCCCCACGACUCGAGUUAUCAUCUGCCAAAUGAGGUAGAACUACCCAAACCAAAGCUUUCAUUGUGCAUAAUAGCAUUAAUAAUAAUAGCUGUACCUGCUGGACAGGCGAGAACACAAAUUUUUUUUUGCUCGUUUGCUAUCCGUCACACGCCAAUUAAAUUAGGGCUAUCCAGAGUUUGCCUCACCCAGUUAGAAUAGCGGCGAAAAGGCUAUUCCGCGACUGUCGUCACUGUGAGCGGAACAACGUAGUUCAGAAUAGAAGCGUCUAUCAUAAAGCAGAUAGUCUACUGAAGUCGUUCCCAAAACGGUUCAUUCUUCGGCUGAGAUGUGCCGGUUGGUCGUGGCGCACGCACCAUGCAUGUCGUCGCAUUAAAAAUGUCAAUCAGUCUGAAGUUUUACUACAUAAAAGGGAAACAGCGCGCAAAGGUUUUGCUUUUGCGAGGGUCGCAGAGACGCUGUUCCCGGAUUAUAGCCCAACCGAGUGUCCAACGUACUUUGACUUGUUUUGAUACUCGUAGCGCGCAAUAGUUCGCUUGAAUUGGCUGCGGUCCUACACAAUGACAAUUACAGCGCCAGCCAGCCAGCCAGCCAGCGAGUGGAACAACUGAGGUAAAGAGGCCAUUUGGCUAUAUUGUGUAGAACUGUAGCUAUUUCUCUUCGGUAAUGGAUUCUUGAAAAACGAAAGGGGGUUUCUUCAAUGAAGGCCGUAACUGUAUGUGAGCCUCGAAAAGCUCACCCGAACAGAACGAAGUGAUCGCGAAGGGUGAUACAACAGUCGCAAUGAGCAACAACACAACAAAUAUCCGCCAGCAAUAAAUAAUGGAUGGGACAAAGAGCCAUUGAUCGCUGCGCCACCAUCAAUGGUGGAAAGAGCAACAACCAGCUGUUACCUCUUGCCCAGAGGAAACCUCGCUGGUUUUUAAAAGGGGACCUGCGAACCACAGAGAACUACUAGAGAACGGAGCAUGGAUCGACUGCAAGUAAGAAAUGACUCACCCAGAAAUCUGAUGAUGGGCCAGGUGCAGUGAUUCAGAGUCAACCACCUCUUGUUGUCCAGCCGUCCAUACUACCCUAGUAGCGCUAGACAGCAUUACUUAGACAAAAAGCUGAACCCUCUCGAUCGCGGCUUCAGGUCGCGCCGCGUCAGAAGAAGGUGCAUUGUUGGAGCAAACUAACGCAAAAACUACUACUUCCUAGGUUGCAGCUGUCAAGGUCUACUGUCGUAACUGAUCUACUAGGACACAUCAGUAUAUCAGCGUUGAACACUGUUUGAGAUUUGCGCGAAUUAGGUUUUAACACCAGAUGACUGUCGUUUUCACUAACUCAUUGCUGACUGUGUAGUUACGGGACUCAAAAAUAUACCGCUCAACUUCCGACUAUUGACUGAUCCGAUCUCGCCAAAAGCCGGCACACGACCGGCAUUCUCCCGAACUGCGUUGAGCUGUUCAAGCUAGAAGGAUAUAAUAAUUCAGCCAUUUCUGACGUACCAUCGCCUUUCUCCUUUUUUUUCGACAAGAUUCACUGACAAAGGUGUAAAGCGAUCAAAAACGCAUCUGCAACGGCGCCUGAAUUUCUGGUGUUACCUAUUGGAUGACAUUUGGCGUCUCACAAAACGACCCGAUUGAGUUGCAGUCAAAGUUUUUCCCCGUGAAGUCUCCUUAUCACAAGCACUCUCCACACUUCUUCACGUCUGUUUGUCAGUGACCUUUGACUUAUUUUUACUACUUUGUCUAAUCAUUAUUCAAUGAUAGUAAUAGCAAUAACCAAAGCGGUAGAGUAAAUCGUUGCUGAAAGCUAUUGUGUCUGACCCUUUGUAAUAUUCUCCUAGGCUGCUUUCGUCGAUAGAACAAACGGGCGAGGCGACCGCACAGAAAGAGGCAAUCAACAUUCAGUCUCUGACCGUAACAUUACGGACUACUGCUCCGAGUUAAUCUGUCUUUUAUACAGCUUUAACAAAAAUAAUGUAACCAUCACCACUGGCCUACAUAAGUUAUGUUCAAUAGGUUUACUAUCACGAUCGGCUUGACCGUGACCCACGCGCGCUACGUUCCUACUAUAGAUUAUGAACGUUCAUCAAGCCAAAACUUCGUCUAUUUUACCUGCGUUUGCCUACCAGGGGGCGGCGUACUGCUGCUAUUGUUGUGGUAGCGCCCGCCGCCUCCCACAAACAACUCUCGCCACCACACGGCAAGGCUCACAUUUGCCAAUGUCUUAACAACGGUGACGGACGCUACACAUAUCUAUGAUCGUGCAGCAUCCGUGCUAUCACUAGCGCCAGUUUGACCGACUAAGCUUCUACUGGCAGGCUUAAGCUUACGCUGCAACCUACGACCCAUAGGUGUACUGCAAAAUUACGUAUCUAUGAAAGUGAAGAUGAUUAUGUCUGGUUAGAGCGAAUAAAUGGAGGACAGAGAAUGGACAUGCUCUCUCCUUCAUUCAACCUGUGAACGUGGCCAAUCAGGAGCAUUAUGACAACGAUUACUACAACGAAGGCAGCAAUAGGGCCAAUAGAAACAGCAGUAAUAUAACUACAGUAAAGUUGAAACGUUACCUGUUACGGGACUACGUUGAAGGGUGCCAUUAGAGGAGCGGGCAAGCUAGUUCCGCGAUCACGCACAUUCAUUUCGAUAUGGCAACCUAUGUUACCGGAUAAGUUUAUAUCGUUGAAUAGGGAACUAAGAAUUUCGGAACCGCUGCCAAUGCAAUUGUAGAAGUUCACAGCGGUACAGGUGGCUAUUGAUGACGAAGUGGAAUGAUAGCCAUCGCACUAUAGUUCGUUAAUUAUUAACUCUUAGCUAGCAACUACUUAAAACAAUGUGGGAAUGGAGAUAAGUCUCAGGGAGCAGUUUCAGUGCGAAAUGAAGUACAUUGGCUAGAAAUAGUGAUCCAGUUAACGAGAAUAAAUUGCAGUCAUUGUUGGAUAAUUCAUGUAGUGCAAUGGUUAGCAAGAAAUGAACAGAAUAAGGUCUGACCGAUCUGUCUAAUGUUAUCUCAGAUUGCGGCCUUAUAGCCAAAGGCGCCUCAGGAUGUGAAAUACCUCUUUGAAUGUCAGAGGUGUGGAAGCAGCAACAAGCAAUUUGUGCAGAAAAAUAAACGAGUCAACGAGAGAAUGACUCGUUAAUUUUUUCGAAGCAAAACCAUUCUGUAUUGCACAGCUACACGCUGGUGCACCUGGUCAAACACAACACAAACGUACAUCUAUUCCUGUAGAGAACUUACGUUGGCCUGCGGCCCCAAUGCAGUUCCAAUGAGGUUCCGUAGCCAGCCCCACAUACCCAUUUGCGUAAAUACCUAUGCGUAUUUCUAUUUGUGCGUGUUGCAGUGCUUCAACUCCAACGCUGUUGGUUUCAAAGGAUUUUUAACGGAACUCAUUGAGUGACUCCACGGUCUUUUCGCCAACGAUACACGAGUUGCCUGUUGAGCAAUGCUGAGACAUAACUUUUCUCGGCAGCACAUUCGUGUGUACGUACCACGCCCGAAAAGCCCCCCUUGGUUUACACAGUUUGGCAGCGCGUUUCGCCAGCAGAGGCUAGGAGCGUGGCAACCCAUCUUAACUGCUGGCACGGUCCUGCCAACGUUUUUCCUCGUUGGACUCGCUUUCAUACCCGUUGGAAUUCUAUUAUUUCUCUCGUCUGAGGGAGUUUGCGAGGCACAAGUGGAUUACACAGACUGUGGCAAGGAUGGCCAUAAUGUCAUAACGUGCAAUGAAGAGCUCCAUAUUUAUUUACACAAUGGCACGCACAGCGGAUCAGGACCAUACGAGUGCACGUGUUAUGAACCGAUCGAUCUCGACACAGAUUUUCCGGCAUACGUGUUUAUCUAUUACGGCCUGAGCAAUUUUUACCAGAAUCACAGGCGGUAUGUUAAGUCACGUAGUGAUAAACAGCUAUUGGGUAAUCCCAAAUACGUAUCCAAUGACUGCUCCCCGUUUGACAAGAAUACCAAAGGUGAACCAAUUGCGCCGUGCGGCGCAAUCGCCAACAGCCUGUUUAAUGAUACGAUCAAAUUGGAGUUCUAUGAUCAGAACAAAGAUAGAUGGAAGCCUGUUGAGAUUGUACGAGAUGAAAUUUCAUGGUGGACCGAUCGUAACGUGAAAUUCCGCAACGCUUCAUCUUACGAUGGUACUGCUCGGCCGCCGUCUUGGAAUAAAACCGUUGCUGAGAUGGGCGGUUUUGCAAAUGAAGACCUCAUAGUAUGGAUGCGAACAGCAGCUCUGCCGACGUUCCGCAAGCUUUACGCUCGCAUCGAUCAUAGCCAUAGCGACUGGAAGGACAAACUGCCAAAGGGCAAAUACCGGGCAGUUAUCGAGUACAACUAUCCAGUAUCGAACUUUAAGGGCAGAAAAAGAAUAAUUCUGUCGAACACUUCCUGGCUUGGAGGGAAGAACCCAUUUUUGGGUAUCGCGUACAUAACGGUGGGGAGCAUUUGCCUCGUGCUUGGCGUCGCAUUUCUUUUCAUACAUCAACGAUUCGGAAAGAAUCGGUGGAAAAAGGUUCUUGAGCAGCAUGGCUUAUUUCUGCAGGUCGAUACGGCUUUGCCUUUCCGAACCGCUGUUAUCGGGAAGAAGCGGGACAGCCACACCGUCGAAUUGGUUGCUGUUGUUGAUCAUAUUGACGGAGUCGCUGGCUCCCCUCGUACUGAGACCGAGAAUAUUAAAGUAGUUCCGUCCUUACAGUCGUCAUCGAAUUUGCACUUGUAGCGUCACCUAUCCGGGUGCUGCGUCGCGCCCGGCAUGCAGGACGCUUCAAGCCGUCAACCCGUUACUGCUCUGUGAAAAAAAGAAAAUGUCUCUGUUACCAACUCUGACGCCGUUUUUUUCAAGGUGAUAAAAAUCAACCAAAUACGUGACUGGUGCGCGCUUAAGUCAAAAUCGUGUCUGUAUGUCUGUCUCUAUCUAUGUGUGAUGCGUUUGCGUAUGGGUGCUUGUACGCACGCAUCGUGGAAGACUCUACGCGAAGUCUUCAUGGCUUUGAUUGCAGCGGCCUAAGCGCUUAAUGGGCGUUCGAACGCUUGUUCAACAUCUUGUGUCGCCGAUUGAUAGAAUUGUAUAAUUUUUUCUGAAAAGUUUACCAGCUUUUCUCUAUUUGAAGCCAUCGUCUUCAGGUUCUAGGCAGUACUCCGCUAUAACUAUGGUAUUAAUAUCCUGAGGUAGAAGCAGUCAACAGUAUUGGGGGGUACUGUAUCAUAAACACAACGACAAAUUGUGUUUGUAAAACUUGUCACUUCAUUGAACUCAAUUUGAAGUGGCCUCCGACUUUUGCUUUUUCUGAAUCUAGUAGCUUCUCGACUUCACCUCGAGGCGGUAGAAACCUACCAUUUGGCUAUUCUACUACUUAUCUUCUUUUCGUAGUUUUUUGCCGUCCUUCUAACAUCUAAGUAUUUCCUCGUCAUUUUUCGCCGACACUCUGUUUGCUGGGAAAAUUACAAACCGGGUAAUGUACAGUUCAUCUUUGAGUGAAUCACGCAUACACAGCGUAACCAUAGCAACAUGGCGCAUGCUGAAGAUUGUAAUUGUUUGUGCGCUAACAAUGAAUAGUCAACUAUACUCAAAAUUGAGUAUAAUUUACUGUUAGCGAACACUGCGGGGAGGGCCACCCCUGUCAUUACUUCGUUAUUAAAUGCACCGCUGUAUGCAACCUGUGUCAUUAAUACCAGAAACAUAACAUUAGCAUUAUGUAUGGGGUGCAAUAAAAAAGAGUUGAAGUCGGGAUUGCAAGACCUCAAAAGUGAAUUACUCUGCGUUCCUAAGGGCGGGUAGUUAGAGGUGUAUGUAUGUACUUGGCUGCAUGUUGCUCUUCUGGCUCAUUUGAACGUGUUCAAAUUUAGGCUUGACCAGAAUUACUCGAUUGCUUCAGCAGUAAACUGGAAGCUAGCGAAGAAUAUUUUAAUGGGUGCCAAAUAAAAACAAUUUCGAUAGUUAACUAAACCUACGAUUAAAAUAAACUGCAGGGCAGUUGUUGAUCACCCUGUACAUGAAUACAGCAUCAAAUGUGCGAAGAGGAAGCGUUUUUAUGGCUCUUGCCACACAAGCUGUACGUUACCAUGCCCCUGAAUACCGCUAAUUGAAUUACAUGCAUCCUCAUCGCUCACAGCAGCCUCGAGCUCGUUUUAACUAAACUGAUAGUUGUAUUUUCUCUUCCAUCCGUGCUUCUAAUUUAUUACAUAAUCAUAUGUUCUAUGUUCAUCUACACAGCGCCAUACCGGUCAUAUUACUUGCGUAGCAGACGACGUAAUGAGCUCCAUGAAGAAUCAAAUAACAAAAACAUUGCAAUAAGCACAACAUAAUUUUCCACCAAUCACAAUUAACUCACUUGAAAUCAGCGACACCUGUAAUAACAACUAGUGCUAAAUUCAAACAGUAAUAUAUAUUUAUAUAUACUGGCCAAAGUCUCUGGGUAGUUUGAAAAGGGUGCGCUCGUUGCAAAUGUGUGCUAUGGUUAAAUCCGGCCUUAUAUUAUUAAUUCGCUAUUGCUAACAGAUGUCAAAUAGAAUUUUUUUGACUUUUCAAACUGUCCAGAAACUUUUGUCCUAUACGGUAUAUAUGCAUAUAUAUGUUCGACUAGCUGCAGACAAAUUGUGUCAACUCCCAGAGAGCAGAAAAACACGAGUCUUCAGCAGAACUAUGAAUGUUAUUAAGGUAACAAUUAACAAGCUAUUAACAAGUCUCCUGGAAUGAGAAACAUUCCUCCGUGUCAUCCGGCCGACGACUGCUUCGGACGGAGGCCGCUAAAGCAGACAAAUAUUCCGAGAAAAACAAAAUAAAACGGGCAAAUAACGCACUCCAGAAAGGCAGGCAAAAGAAAAUGAUACAGCAGGCAAAUAGGAUACUGAAAACGCAAAAAAGGUGUAUUGCAAGCGAAACGUUACUCAAACUCUGCUACUUUCUCUCUAAGCAUUCCAGAAACUACAAGGGAUUUGAUCAGUAUUACUGGUAGGACACCGUAUUGAGCUGGCACGUGUGGGUCGGCCAAAGGGUACACUGCAUCGUUGGCUACGCAGUAAAUUCCAUAAAGGUCUGAGCUAAGCCAAACGGCCUUUUUUGUAGGCGUUGCAGCUUCUAAGAUUUCCAGCAGGCGAAAUAUAGUCGAUGAUGGGGGCGGGUAACGUACCCAACGUUUCAGCCGCUAGUGCACAGCCGUGGGCUGGUUAAACAACACAUCAGAGAACACUCAGUACUUGUCCGGCCAAAUCGCGAGCACUGACAGACUACCGAAGCUACCGCUGCUUCUGCUACCAGUACUGUAUUAGAGUUCGGCAUAUCUAUGGCUAAUAGAAGACAAAACAUUGUUACUAUAAUUAUCGUCCUAAUGAUAAUAGACGUGACCGGAACGCAGGCUGAUGUAAAUGAUAAUAUUAAUGACGGCAGUAAUACUAUGUGAUGUAUAUACGUAUCAGAAUCAUCUAUAUCAGUAACAGUAAUUUGUGAAAUAAGAUAUUGUAUAAAAUUCUAUAAAAUCUAAGUUCAAACCGAACCACAAAAUGAACUGUA